rnacentral:rRNA from 1 species
AACGUAGGUGGCGAGCGUUAUCCGGAUUUACUGGGCGUAAAGCGUGCGUAGACGGUUACGUAAGUCGGGUGUGAAAGCCCCGGGCUCAACCUGGGAAUUGCAUUCGAGACUGUGUAGCUAGGGUGCGGAAGAGGGAAGCGGAAUUUCCGGUGUAGCGGUGAAAUGCGCAGAUAUCAGGAGGAACACCGGUGGCGAAGGCGGGUCUCUGGGCCGAUACUGACGCUGAGGAGCGAAAAGCGUGGGGAGCGAACAGG